AGACUUGCAGGCGUAAGAUAAAGACAGCGUUGACAUUUGCCGGGAGGUACGGCGAUAGCUGCUUCUCAGCUAUCAUUUUUCCCCCUAGGCACUGCUGGCUUUCUUUGACUAUUAUAGUUGCCAGAAAAAUCCUUGCUUUUUUUACUUUGAAACCAGCAUUUGAAUGGCAAGUUGGAUAUAAUGGGAUGAGACCAAAUCUUUCCAUUCCUCACGGGAGUAAUGAUAGAACACAAUUUCCAAUCCCACAAGUGCCGAAUCUUGCAGCCUGUGGUGUUGUCAGGCCUGUUCUUGUCGGGGGUGGGCAGUAGUGGUGGCAUUUGCAAAGAGCUAAUAAAAACGAAUUGGGCAGACUUCCGUUAACUUUAAUUAUGAAAUUAAAAUAAGGAAUGCCACUUUUAUAUUGGAAGCUGGUCUGUUUGCCAAAGGUCUUUCUCUUUGAGUACUCAAUGGGAAAAUUCUCUUUCUAACAAAAAAUAAAAUAAA
rnacentral:lncRNA from 1 species